rnacentral:lncRNA from 1 species
CUAAAUGGAAAAACACUACUUUAUCUUUUGGGAUCCGGUUGCGGUUCUAGUUCUUAUACCCAAUCAUAAACACGAGAUCUAGUCAUAUUUGCCUCUAAAAACUCUAACCAAGGUUCUUAUUGCUUCUCAAAUCUUUGUGGGUGUGGCCUAAGUCCUAUGAGUUUUCUGGUUUGGAGCUUCUAAACGAAAAAACACUAUUUUAGCUUUUGGGAUCCGGUUGCGGUUCUAAUUCUUAUACCCAAUUAUAAACACUAGAUCUAGUCAUAUUUGACUCCAAAAACACUAACUAAGCUUCUUAUUGCUUCUCAAAUCUUUGUGGGUGUGGCCGAAGUCCUAUGAAUUUUCUGUUUUGGAACUUCUAAAUGGAAAAACACUACAUUAGCUUUUGGGAUACGGUUGCGGGUCUAGUUCUUAUACCCAAUCAUAAACACGAGAUCUAGCCAUAUUUGACUCCCAAAACACUAACCAAGCUUCUUAUUGCUUCUCAAAUCUUUGUGGGUGUGGCCGAAAUCCUAUUAGUUUUCUGUGUUGGAGCUUCUAAAUGGAAAAACACUACAUUAGCUUUUGGGAUACGGUUGCGGUUCAGUUCUUAUACCCAAUCAUAAACACGAGAUCUAGCCAUAUUUGACUCCAAAAACACUAACCAAGCUUCUUAUUGCUUCUCAAAUAUUUGUGGGUGUGGCCGAAGUCCUCUGAGCUUUCGGUUUUGGAGCUUUUAAACGGAGAAACACUACUUUAGCUUUUGCGAUCCGGUUGCGGUUCUAGUUAUUAUUCCCAAUCAUAAACACGAGAUCUAAUCCAUAUUUGACUCCAAAAACACUAACCAAGCUUCUUAUUGCUUCUCAAAUCUUUGUGGGUGUGGCCGAAGUCCUAUGAAUUUUCUGUAUUGGAGAUUCUAAAUGGAAAAACACUACAUUAGCUUUUGGGAUCCGGUUGCGGCUCUUGUUCUUAUAUCCAAUAAAAAACACGAGAUGUAGUCAUAUUUGACUCCAAAAACACUAACUAAGCUUCUUAUUGCUUCUCAAAUCUUUGUGGGUGUGGCCGAAGUCCUAUGAGUUUUCUGUGUUGGAGCUUCUAAACGGAAAAACACUACUUUAGCUUUUGGGAUCCGGUUGCGGUUCUAGUUCUUAUACCCAAUCAUAAACACGAGAUCUAGUCAUAUUUGACUCCAAAAACACUAACCAAGCUUCUUAUUGCUUCUCAAAUCUUUGUGGGUGUGGCCAAAGUCCUAUGAGUUUUCUGGUUUGGAGCUUCUAAAUGGAAAACACUACUUUAUCUUUUGGGAUCAGGUUGCGGUUCUAGUUCUUAUACCCAAUCAUAAACACUAGAUCUAGUCAUAUUUGACUCCAAAAACACUAACCAAGCUUUUUAUUGCCUCUCAAAUCUUUGUGGGUGUGGCCAAAGUCCUAUGAGUUUUAUGUUUUGGAGCUUCUAAAUGGAAAAACACUAUUUUAGCUUU